rnacentral:rRNA from 1 species
UGGGGAAUAUUGCACAAUGGGCGAAAGCCUGAUGCAGUAACGCCGCGUGAGUGAUGAAGGCCUUCGGGUUGUAAAGCUCUGUCUUUUGGGACGAUAAUGACGGUACCAAAGGAGGAAGCCACGGCUAACUACGUGCCAGCAGCCGCGGUAAUACGUAGGUGGCAAGCGUUGUCCGGAUUUACUGGGCGUAAAGGAUGCGUAGGCGGAUUUUUAAGUGAGAUGUGAAAACCCUAAGCUUAACUUGGGGACUGCAUUUCAUACUGGAAAUCUAGAGUGCGGGAGAGGAGAAUGGAAUUCCUAGUGUAGCGGUGAAAUGCGUAGAGAUUAGGAAGAACACCAGUGGCGAAGGCGAUUCUCUGGACCGUAACUGACGCUGAGGCAUGAAAGCGUGGGUAGCAAACAGGAUUAGAUACCCUGGUAGUCCACGCCGUAAACGAUGAGUACUAGGUGUAGGAGGUAUCGACCCCUUCUGUGCCGCAGUUAACACAAUAAGUACUCCGCCUGGGAAGUACGAUCGCAAGAUU